UACGAAGGGGGCUAGCGUUGCUCGGAAUCACUGGGCGUAAAGCGCACGUAGGCGGACUCUUAAGUCGGUGGUGAAAUCCUGGAGCUCAACUCCAGAACUGCCUCCGAUACUGGGAGUCUUGGAGUCCGGGAGAGGUGAGUGGAACUGCGAGUGUAGAGGUGAAAUUCGUAGAUAUUCGCAAGAACACCAGUGGCGAAGGCGGCUCACUGGCCCGGUACUGACGCUGAGGUGCGAAAAGCGUGGGGAGCAAACAGG
rnacentral:rRNA from 1 species